rnacentral:rRNA from 1 species
AGUGAACGCUGGCGGUAGGCCUAACACAUGCAAGUCGAACGGCAGCACAGUAAGAGCUUGCUCUUACGGGUGGCGAGUGGCGGACGGGUGAGGAAUACAUCGGAAUCUACUUUUUCGUGGGGGAUAACGUAGGGAAACUUACGCUAAUACCGCAUACGACCUACGGGUGAAAGCAUGGGAUCUUCGGACCUUGCGCGAUUGAAUGAGCCGAUGUCGGAUUAGCUAGUUGGCGGGGUAACGGCCCACCAAGGCGACGAUCCGUAGCUGGUCUGAGAGGAUGAUCAGCCACACUGGAACUGAGACACGGUCCAGACUCCUACGGGAGGCAGCAGUGGGGAAUAUUGGACAAUGGGCGCAAGCCUGAUCCAGCCAUACCGCGUGGGUGAAGAAGGCCUUCGGGUUGUAAAGCCCUUUUGUUGGGAAAGAAAAGCAGCAGGUUAAUACCCCGCUGUUCUGACGGUACCCAAAGAAUAAGCACCGGCUAACUUCGUG